CAGCCGCCGCGGUAAUACGUAGGUGGCAAGCGUUGUCCGGAAUUAUUGGGCGUAAAGGGCUCGCAGGCGGUUUCUUAAGUCUGAUGAGAAAGCCCCCGGCUCAACCGGGGAGGGUCAUUGGAAACUGGGAAACUUGAGUGCAGAAGAGGAGAGUGGAAUUCCACGUGUAGCGGUGAAAUGCGUAGAGAUGUGGAGGAACACCAGUGGCGAAGGCGACUCUCUGGUCUGUAACUGACGCUGAGGAGCGAAAGCGUGGGGAGCGAACAGGAUUAGAUACCCCGGUAGUCCCUGUCUCUUAUAC
rnacentral:rRNA from 1 species